GCCUACGGGACGCAGCAGUGGGGAAUAUUGCACAAUGGGGGAAACCCUGAUGCAGCGACGCCGCGUGAGUGAAGAAGUAUUUCGGUAUGUAAAGCUCUAUCAGCAGGGAAGAUAAUGACGGUACCUGACUAAGAAGCCCCGGCUAACUACGUGCCAGCAGCCGCGGUAAUACGUAGGGGGCAAGCGUUAUCCGGAUUUACUGGGUGUAAAGGGUGCGUAGGUGGCAGGGCAAGUCAGAUGUGAAAGCCCGGGGCUCAACCCCGGUACUGCAUUUGAAACUAUCCAGCUGGAGUGCAGGAGAGGUA
rnacentral:rRNA from 1 species